GAAAUCUAGGACUAAUUGACAAAUAGGUACAAGUGGGAGGAUGAGUCUGCAAAACCUAAUAUUCUCUCUUCUAAGAGGUGGGUGGGGAUGGUUGACUUGGUGUAUAAACAAAGGCAAAAACACUUUGCUUGUUCUGAGAAUCUGAUUGUAGAGGGAGGAAGAAGAAGAAGAAGAAGCAAGAGAGUGAGAAGAGGGAAUGAGAGAUUUUAGAACUUCUGGGAGUUAUAGGAAUGGGGUUGCCUGGGAAGAAAACAAAGUCAAUCGAGGGGUUGAUUUGCAAUAAAGAGAAAGGUAUGGGACUUGAGAACUAUAUUAUCUUUCUUCCCAAGGCCGCCCAUUCCGAUGAUUUCCAGUUGUUCCUCCCUUUCCCUGGCUAUCUCAAUUCCUUUUAUGCACUGGUGAUUCUGGACCGUUCAUGAAGGACAUGGAUGUUAAGAGAGGUGUGUAAAACUUCAUAUUGAACGCUCAUUUUAGCAAUUUGACAUGAAUUCAUAUAUUGUAUUUUAUGAGGAAUCCAAGGUUAGAUGGUCUUACGGCCUCCACUUUGGACCUCAACUGUGGCAUGAAACACAUGCUUGUGUUAAAUCCUUCUUGACUGUUGUGCUAGAGGAUUUCAGAUAUGAAUGUCCAAGAUAAACUCAAGAGAUUUACGUGAUUGGCCAAUUGUCUACUCUACAAAGAGUUUGAUUUCACUAAAUUUGAAGAAAAUUUACAAUCACUCAAUUCCUCACUACUCCCUACAAUUUCAUGCUUGUCAUGCAAAAUACAAUUCCUCAUCUCUCUAUUUAUAGGUUUUUGAUUGAGGAUGAGGGACUUAUGCAGUGAUGCCAAAUUCACCGUCUCACAGGAAGUUUCACUGUAGCUUCCAUUGUUCGACCUUCAAAGGUCGAACUUUAGAUGAUGUUUCUUUACGGCAACUUCUGGAAAUUUUAGGAUUUUCCAUCUUGAGCCUUCGAGUCCUUUCUUGCUUCGUAGAGAAGUUAAGCCAAUUCCUUCGACAUAGACUAUGGUCGUGAUAUUGAUACAAUAACCUAAUAUUUGAUCUCUGAUUUGUUUUUGUGGACUGUAUCCCAAAAUGAAGUAAUCAAUGAAGAUGGAGCUGCAUUAAUUCUCAAUUACCAGAAUGUUCAGAGGCUUCAAAAGACAAAAAUCCAGUCAUCUCCAUAAAUACAAAAGAAUUCUUAAA